GUGGGGAAUAUUGGACAAUGGGCGCAAGCCUGAUCCAGCCAUGCCGCGUGAGUGAUGAAGGCCUUAGGGUUGUAAAGCUCUUUCAGUGGGGACGAUAAUGACGGUACCCACAGAAGAAGCCCCGGCUAACUUCGUGCCAGCAGCCGCGGUAAUACGAAGGGGGCUAGCGUUGUUCGGAUUUACUGGGCGUAAAGCGCACGUAGGCGGAUCGUUAAGUCGGGGGUGAAAUCCUGGAGCUCAACUCCAGAACUGCCUUCGAUACUGGCGAUCUUGAGUCCGGAAGAGGUGAGUGGAACUCCUAGUGUAGAGGUGGAAUUCGUAGAUAUUAGGAAGAACACCAGUGGCGAAGGCGGCUCACUGGUCCGGUACUGACGCUGAGGUGCGAAAGCGUGGGGAGCAAACAGGAUUAGAAACCCCGGUAGUCC
rnacentral:rRNA from 1 species